ACUGGUUUCAUUAUAAAAUUUGUAAAUUUCUAAGAAUAAUGUUUAAUAAGAAUACAGUUACCACCAGACUUUGAUAUGCCUCUGACAUGUUUCCCAAUAAUUACACCUUGGAAUGAGGGCAGAUCUCAGCCUCCUCUUCUCCUCUCUAUUUCUUUAAAAAAAAAAUAAAUAAAUAAAUUCCAAGGUUUCUAAAAAUCCUACAAAAGAUAAU
rnacentral:misc_RNA from 1 species